UUUGGUAUAGUUCUUCAGAAUAUAUGUGUUACAAACAUAAGGGUUUAUUUUUUAAAUGCCAAAA
rnacentral:tRNA from 1 species